rnacentral:rRNA from 1 species
AGGACGAACGCUGGCGGCGUGCUUAACACAUGCAAGUGGAGCGACGAACCAGGGCUUGCCCUGGGGCAGAGCCGCGAACGGGUGAGUAACACGUGGGUUACCUGCCUUGAUGACCGGGACAACCCGAGGAAAACUCGGGCUAAUACCGGAUGUGCCCGCAAGGGGAAAGGAAGCUUCGGCCUCCGCAUCAAGAUGGGCCCGCGGCCCAUUAGCUAGUUGGUGAGGUAACGGCUCACCAAGGCUUCGAUGGGUAGCUGGUCUGAGAGGACGAUCAGCCACACUGGGACUGAGACACGGCCCAGACUCCUACGGGAGGCAGCAGUGGGGAAUCUUGCGCAAUGCGCGAAAGCGUGACGCAGCAACGCCGCGUGGGGGAAGAAGGCUUUCGGGUUGUAAACCCCUUUCAGUUGGGACGAAGCUUCUCCGGUGAAUAGCCGGACGGAGUGACGGUACCUUCACAAGAAGCACCGGCUAACUACGUGCCAGCAGCCGCGGU